CAGGAAUAUGGAAAGAUCUCCUUUAAAGCACAUUUUUAUUGGUAUCUGUUAUACAAUUUCUGUAUGUGGAGCAGACGCCGGCGAUUGUCCUGCGUGUGUUUAUGUAUGUAUAAGGCAUUCAUGAGAUUAGUGUGAACCUUGUCCUCCCUGAAGGUUGCGGAGGCCAGGCACGCUGCCACUGCCUCAUAUGCAUCUCUUUUAUUGUCUGCUGUGCAUAAUCACACUCCUCUCGCUUCUCAGUGCCAGACUUUUGACCCUUUUUAUUUUGCUGUCCAUUUUCAGCUGCCCCACAACCCAACAGGCAUUAGGCUAGUGAACAGAUGUGCAGGGAGCAGCCAGUUAAUGCUAAUGAGCUCCUCUGAAACACCAAAUCAUUUUCAUAGUCCACAUGACAGCAGAGGAGGAAGAAAGCUAACGUGUUGUGUCCAGUUUUAUUGAAAGGCUAGCUUCGUUUUAUAAAUUUUUAAUUGUGGGUUUUAACUCGCCCGGCAUCGUCUGGGUCAUGGGCCAGACACGGGUUGGUGUGCGCGUUAGUAUCAGCGUGUGCAUGUGCGUCUGCACCACUGCACUUGCAUGAGCGUUGUGGCUAUUUGUGAGUAUGCAUUUCCCCAGGCUACACAAAGCAGGGGACUCCUUGACAGUUUCUCCCUGUCACUGCACAGGCCUAUGUGUGUGUGUGUGUGUGUGUGUGUGUGUGUGUGAUCAAUCUCACGUGGACCAGUCAUGGUGUCAGGGCAGCAGUGGAUCUGACUCUCACUCUCUCUCCCUCUCUACUCUCCCCAUCUCCCAUUCCUCUUCCACUUUCUCCCUUGCUCCCUUCCAUAUAUCCUUUUCUUUGGCCAUGGAGCAGAAGGAGAGCCGGGGUCAGGAGCGAGCCGUCUGAGCAUCCAUUUUUCUGCAGGAUAAUUAAUGCACGCCGAGCUGGAGGACUGAUCCCAGGACUGCUCCAAACAGGACUGUGAGAGGAAGACUCACCUCCUCCACACCAGCAAAAGAAGAUAUCGUCAAAUGAAUAGAAGACUCAUCAAGUGUGAGGAGGAACCAUCAGAGGAUUAUUAGGCCCAAGUUGUUUUCUGAUCAGUUAGAAAACUGUUCAUGUUCAGACCUGAACUAUUGGGUUCUAAUCCAUCAGGACAAAGACUCCACCUAGUCUAGAAUUAUUCCUCCUCAUCUCUGUGGAGCCUGCUGCAGAAAUCUGCUGCUAACUUAAAGAAUGACACCGCUGCACGUCUGUAAAAAAAACAACUCCUCAACUCAACUGCCGUUUGUGUCGACACACACACCGACUGCGCAUGCACCGUGCACAGAACACCGUGCACGUACAGCACCAAACCUCCUCAAGUUCAGUUCUGGUGAUUGAUUGAAGACGACAAUGAAGACAGCAGUGGCUUCAGGUUAUGUGAGAAGGUCUGACAUUACCUACAGCUGAACAACACAUUACUCAGAUAUUACAAGGACAUAAAUAUGGUUUAGCUCCUCGUGAGGAAUUGUUGCUCCUGGAAGGAAGUGUGAGAUGAAGUAUGCAUGUGUGGACCCACCUAAACCGUAAUGUAUAGAUGCUCCUCUUUGAACACAGAGGUGAAAGUCGGACUUUUUCCUAACGCUAUAAAAAAACCCAGAGAUCCCCGGGGGCAGAGGGGCCGCUGGCCUGCCAUGCAUCUUCAGAGAACAGAUAUCUGUUGUCCGACCGAGACAGACAGCGGUGGCUUGUUGUUAAGAGUGGGUUUAUCUUCUCACUGAAUCAGGAGAG